CAACAGGAAACCUGUGAUCUAUGUUCACUUUCACUGAAAGCAGGUGAAUUGGUUUCAGCAACUACUGAGGCAGAAAGGAGUAACAGUGUCAGGGCUGCUGGGGACACCAUGGUAAAUGGUCAGGCCUAUUGGCUCACUGGCGUUCAGUGUAA